rnacentral:rRNA from 1 species
UACGUAGGGUGCGAGCGUUAAUCGGAAUUACUGGGCGUAAAGCGUGCGCAGGCGGUUUUGUAAGCCAGGUGUGAAAUCCCCGGGCUCAACCUGGGAAUGGCAUUUGGGACUGCAAGGCUGGAGUGCGGCAGAGGAGACUGGAAUUCCUGGUGUAGCGGUGAAAUGCGCAGAUAUCGGGAGGAACACCGGUGGCGAAGGCGGAUCUCUGGGCCUGUCCUGACGCUCAGGCGCGAAAGCUAGGGGAGCGAACAGG